GUUUAACAAAAAAUGGCAUGUUAUGUUCCUUUUAACAACAGGAAUUUGGACAUAAACUUCUUCAUAUUUAGACCAACAAUUGUUUGCGUAGAUUCUCUUAUUCAUGCUCUGAAGCAGUUUUCUUCAUACACUGAUGGCCUUGGCUUUGUUCAUACUUCAUAGUUCUAUAUUUACUAGUAUUCAUGGGAGCAUGAAUGUAUGGUGAGGGGCUUGGAUGAAGAGGAGUGAUGAGAACAAGCAACUCCUAAUUGCAGCCCUUAUUAAGGCCGAACCAUUGCUCGUAUUUGAUUGAAAUCCACUUUUUUUGCUGGACCGGGCUUGCAGAUUAAGGCCGAAUUUGAUUGAAAUCCACUUUUUUUGGUGGACCGGGCUUGUAGAUUAAGGCCAAAAGUCUCCCAGCGGGUGAUGUUCCCAUUGUCAUUUCCAUUGCUCGUAUUUGAACCAUUGCUCGUAUUUGAUUGAAAUCCAUUUUUUUUGCUAGACCGGGCUUGCAGAUUAAGGCCGAAAGUCUCCUAGCGGAUUAAGGCCGGAAGUCUGCUCGUAUUUGAUUGAAAUCCUCUUUUUUUGCUGGACCGGGCUUGCAGAUUAAGGCCGAAAGUCUCCCAGCGGGCUUGCAGAUUAAGGUCGAAAGUCUCCCAGCGGAUUAAGGCCGAAAGUCUCGCAGCGGGUGAUGUUCUCACUGUCAUUUCCAUUGCUCGGUUCUCACUGUCAUUUCCAUUGCUCGUAUUUGAUUGAAAUCCAAUCAUGCUCGUAUAUUCACAUA